ACGACUGCUAAGACUGGAUAGGAAACAAAAAGGCAUCUUUUUGUUUUUAAAAGACCUUCUUAUGAAGGUAUGCUUAAAGAGGGGCUUGCGCCACAUUAGUUAGUUGGUAGGGUAAAAGCCACCAAGACGAUGAUGUGUAGCUGGACUGAGAGGUUGAACAGCCACAUUGGGACUGAGACACGGCCCAAACUCCUACGGGAGGCAGCAGUAGGGAAUUUUCGGCAAUGGAGGAAACUCUGACCGAGCAACGCCGCGUGAACGAUGAAGUAUUUCGGUAUGUAAAGUUCUUUUAUUGAAGAAGAAAAAGUAGUGGAAAAACUAUAUUGACGUUAUUCAAUGAAUAAGCCCCGGCUAACUAUGUGCCAGCAGCCGCGGUAAGACAUAGGGGGCGAGCGUUAUCCGGAAUUAUUGGGCGUAAAGGGUGCGUAGGCUGUUAGAUAAGUCUAUAAUUUAAUUUCAGUGCUUAACGCUGUCUUGUUAUAGAAACUGUCUUGACUAGAGUGAGAUAGAGGCAAGCGGAAUUCCAUGUGUAGCGGUAAAAUGUGUAAAUAUAUGGAGGAACACCAGAAGCGUAGGCGGCUUGCUGGGUCUUUACUGACGCUGAGGCACGAAAGCGUGGGUAGCAAACAGGAUUAGAUACCCUGGUAGUCCACGCCGUAAACGAUGAGUACUAAGUGUCGGGGUAAAACUCGGUACUGAAGUUAACACAUUAAGUACUCCGCCUGAGUAGUACGUACGCAAGUAUGAAACUUAAAGGAAUUGACGGGACUCCGCACAAGCGGUGGAUCAUGUUGUUUAAUUCGAAGAUACACGAAAAAUCUUACCAGGUCUUGACAUACUCUGCAAAGCUAUAGAAAUAUAGUGGAGGUUAUCAGGGAUACAGGUGGUGCAUGGUUGUCGUCAGUUCGUGUCGUGAGAUGUUAGGUUAAGUCCUAAAACGAGCGCAACCCUUGUCGUUAAGUGCCAGCACGUAAUGGUGGGGACUUUAGCGAGACUGCCAAUUAAACAUUGGAGGAAGGUGAGGAUUACGUCAAAUCAUCAUGCCCCUUAUGAUCUGGGCUACAAACGUGAUACAAUGGCUGUGACAAAGAGUAGCUGAAACGCGAGUUUUUAGCCAAUCUCAAAAAAGCAGUCUCAGUUCGGAUUGAAGUCUGUAACUCGACUUCAUGAAGUUGGAAUCGCUAGUAAUCGCGAAUCAGCAUGUCGCGGUGAAUACGUUCUCGGGGUUUGUACACACCGCCCGUCA
rnacentral:rRNA from 1 species